CUCAGGAUGAACGCUGGCGGCGUGCCUAAUACAUGCAAGUCGAGCGAACAGAUGAGAAGCUUGCUUCUCUGAUGUUAGCGGCGGACGGGUGAGUAACACGUGGGUAACCUACCUAUAAGACUGGGAUAACUCCGGGAAACCGGGGCUAAUACCGGAUAAUAUUUUGAACCGCAUGGUUCAAUAGUGAAAGACGGUUUCGGCUGUCACUUAUAGAUGGACCCGCGCCGUAUUAGCUAGUUGGUAAGGUAAYGGCUUACCAAGGCGACGAUACGUAGCCGACCUGAGAGGGUGAUCGGCCACACUGGAACUGAGACACGGUCCAGACUCCUACGGGAGGCAGCAGUAGGGAAUCUUCCGCAAUGGGCGAAAGCCUGACGGAGCAACGCCGCGUGAGUGAUGAAGGUCUUCGGAUCGUAAAACUCUGUUGUUAGGGAAGAACAAAUUUGUUAGUAACUGAACAAGUCUUGACGGUACCUAACCAGAAAGCCACGGCUAACUACGUGCCAGCAGCCGCGGUAAUACGUAGGUGGCAAGCGUUAUCCGGAAUUAUUGGGCGUAAAGCGCGCGUAGGCGGUUUCUUAAGUCUGAUGUGAAAGCCCACGGCUCAACCGUGGAGGGUCAUUGGAAACUGGGAAACUUGAGUGCAGAAGAGGAGAGUGGAAUUCCAUGUGUAGCGGUGAAAUGCGCAGAGAUAUGGAGGAACACCAGUGGCGAAGGCGGCUCUCUGGUCUGUAACUGACGCUGAUGUGCGAAAGCGUGGGGAUCAAACAGGAUUAGAUACCCUGGUAGUCCACGCCGUAAACGAUGAGUGCUAAGUGUUAGGGGGUUUCCGCCCCUUAGUGCUGCAGCUAACGCAUUAAGCACUCCGCCUGGGGAGUACGACCGCAAGGUUGAAACUCAAAGGAAUUGACGGGGACCCGCACAAGCGGUGGAGCAUGUGGUUUAAUUCGAAGCAACGCGAAGAACCUUACCAAAUCUUGACAUCCUUUGACCGCUCUAGAGAUAGAGUCUUCCCCUUCGGGGGACAAAGUGACAGGUGGUGCAUGGUUGUCGUCAGCUCGUGUCGUGAGAUGUUGGGUUAAGUCCCGCAACGAGCGCAACCCUUAAGCUUAGUUGCCAUCAUUAAGUUGGGCACUCUAGGUUGACUGCCGGUGACAAACCGGAGGAAGGUGGGGAUGACGUCAAAUCAUCAUGCCCCUUAUGAUUUGGGCUACACACGUGCUACAAUGGAUAAUACAAAGGGCAGCGAAUCCGCGAGGCCAAGCAAAUCCCAUAAAAUUAUUCUCAGUUCGGAUUGUAGUCUGCAACUCGACUACAUGAAGCUGGAAUCGCUAGUAAUCGUAGAUCAGCAUGCUACGGUGAAUACGUUCCCGGGUCUUGUACACACCGCCCGUCACACCACGAGAGUUUGUAACACCCGAAGCCGGUGGAGUAACCUUUUAGGAGCUAGCCGUCGAAGUGGGAC
rnacentral:rRNA from 1 species